UACGGAGGGUGCAAGCGUUAUCCGGAUUCACUGGGUUUAAAGGGUGCGUAGGUGGGCAGGUAAGUCAGUGGUGAAAUCUCCGGGCUUAACCCGGAACUGCCGUUGAUACUAUCUGUCUUGAAUGUAGUGGAGGUGAGCGGAAUAUGUCAUGUAGCGGUGAAAUGCUUAGAUAUGACAUAGAACACCCAUUGCGAAGGCAGCUCGCUACACUAUUAUU
rnacentral:rRNA from 1 species